CCCUCGGAGCCAUAGCAACGGCAGCAGGAAGUUCCCCUUGUUGAAUCGUCCUUCCGGGGGCGGGAGCGCGAUGGCUGACGGCCUGUAGCGUGGCCCUGUUUAUCCGGGCCGUGCGGAAUUCGGCCGGCUCCUUUGCGCUCACGGCCUGGGUUUAUUUUGUGGGCGGUUUCUUCUGUUCCCCGUGGGAGCGGACAUCACUGGGAGGAAUGAGAGCGAGGAAGAGGAAGACAUUAGUCCUUGGACCGUUUCUAAGAGUCAUCUGGAGGAGGAAUGCGAAGAUGCACACGCUCAGUCCUGUCUGGGAGUCCAAAAACGGCCCCAGACCUUCUUGGAAGUCUUCUUCUGGUUAUUCUUCCCCAGGCCCUUCUCUUCCUCACGUGGCAUAGUUCAGAGUUCCCUCAUCAUCCUGGUCAUGGCCCUGAAAUAGCUCCAGCCUUGGUGUGUACUCCUCUAAAGUGUGACACUCAGUUCUGAGCACUGUACUCCUGCUUUGCUACGGACAGGAGUCAAAGUGACAAAGGGAUAAAGCAUGUGGGAUGUUGAAAAGAGUUCCAGUUUGGAGUCUGGCAGGCCUGUGUUUAAACCUCAACUGUGCCUCUUAUUAUAUGGCCUUAGGCGGCAAGGAGGGAACUGAGAAGUGAUGCUGCCUCUUUAAGACCCAAACCACCACCUCACUAGGGAGGAUGUGGGGCAAGGCUUCCUGAAGAUGGCAGCAAUGCUCUAUGAAAUACAACUAUCCACACUUCCUCUCCCUUAAAAAUUUGGAAGAAAACACGUUUCUAAGCAGAGAUAGUUUGUGGGGGUGGUGACAGUCUGACAAUCAGAUUUAAUUAUAAAUCAGAAGGCACUUGGUUCCAAUGGAAGGACAAAGGAUAAAGAACCAAUGACAAGAGGCACAACAGUGGCCAAAAUGUAAGUAAAAUCACCUCUUUACUUACAGAUGGGUUCCAUAGAACAAACACCUGCCAGUCACAUAGGUGGCUUUAAUGCACAAUCUAUUUGCCUCUCUCUUUGGCAAGCACCAUCCUCAAUCCCCCCAGGAAUUGCACUUGAGAAUAAAUAAGCUGAUAUAAGUUUUGGGAGGGGGUACUUCUAUAAGAGAGUUUGAGCUUUAGUUAAAUGUCAGCCUGCCCUGGUCACAGCAAUGGCAUGUUUCAUGACCAUAGCCCUGAACUUUUUACCUCUUACGAAUUGUUCUCAAGCAUGCAUAGAAGAAAUUCGGAUUUUAUUUUUGUUCAGAAUGAGAGGGUUGGAAGAAGAGGUCUUCAGGUUGCAACAUGAGUGCUGUCCUGCCAAAUGGAUCAGAUUUAUUGCUAGAGGUAUCCCCCUGUUCUCCCAGGUAACCACCCCACAUCCCUGGUCCCAGGUAGGCGAUAAUUGGACAUUCUUAGAAAGUAUAUCAAGUUACUGGAACUGGAAUUCCUGAGAAAAAAGAAGUCCUCUCUAUUUCUGCCUGUGCCUCCAGGGGGAGGCCAGAACCACUUUUAGAAUGGGUACCCAAACUAACAUUUUCCUCAUUGCCCUUCAUUUGUCCUGGUUAAAGCCCUUAGCAAAUCUGAACUAAAUGGCCAUCCCCAGAAUAUCCUUAACACUAGGAAAUGGAGAGGGAUCUAGGAAUUCCUCAACUCUUCCCUUAUUGAUCUCCAUAUUAUUGUUAUUUUUGAUACCUUCACAGUUUCCAGCUUUGUCACUCGUAGAAUCUACUGAAUGCCUAUUUCCCCACCUCCUCACCUCCCCAGUACUCUGCUGAUCUGGCCUACAAGAUGCCAAAGGAUGUUAAGACCAUGUGACAACAUGAGGGGUUCCCAUGGGGACAGACCUGUUUGCUCAUUAAAGCUGGCAGGAACACCAAGGUCUGCCAUUGUGCACAGGCUUCAAGUUUAUUUGUGGACCAGUGUCUUUUGUUCAGUUUUUGCUAAGGAAUAUGACAGAAGGAAUGACAAGACAAAAGAGAAGACUGUCCCAGUAGCCAUUCUUUUUUUUUUUUUAAUUUCAGUAUAUUAUGGGGGUACAAAUGUUAAGGUUAUGUAUAUUGCCCUUGCCCCCUUCGAGUCAGAGCUUCAAGCGUGUCCAUCCCCACCAGUAGCCAUUCUUAAAGUGAAGGCCCUUCUAGUGGAGUUAAUGCAGAAGGGACACAUCUACAGGGUCUUCCCCCUCAGGAAACCCAGCCCCAGCACAGGAAUUCUCUAGACAGAGUCUGUCAUCCUGCAAUUUGGGGAGUGUGCUGACCAUGACCUGGAGUUAGAAGUUACAUUUUUUUUUAUCUGUAUAUACAUAUUUGUAAAAACAUUCUUACCUCUCUACCUGCAUACACUGUGAUAUUUUCUAUUCUAUUCUACACUAUUCCUUUUUAGAAACUUCUGUUCAUGACUCAUUAAGUAGAUUUCACCUUUGAAAAGUUUGAAAAACCCUGGCCUGGGAUAGCAGGGGUGUGAGUCUCUGAUUUAAACUGCUAGCAGUUUAAGCAGGCAUUUGCUAAACCUGGAGUCCCUUUCUGAUGCAAGGGGUUAUUUUAAAAACAGGUUUUUUCUGCCACUGUUUCUGUCAGAAAACAAUUUCCUAUUUUUUUUUAUCUGGCACACACUGUUAACCUUAAAAAGCAAUCCUGAAAACAGAAGAGGAAAAAUAUUAUAGUUUAUCACAGCCCCCUUCUCCCUAACUACAUCUCCACCCAAUAUCAUGAUAUUGUCUUUUUUCUCAGCAUACUCAUGUGGAAUUGCUGGAGGAGAGGGAUUUGCAUGGGAGAGCAGGAGUGUGGGAUUGGUCAUUAAAAUAGCUGUCUUGGCUCCUGCAAGUCAUUACAACACCUAAAACCCUUCUGUAAAUCAUGAGAAUACUUUUACUGACAACUGGGGCUAUUCUUUCUUUCGCAUUCAGUUCUCCUCUCUACCUGAUUCCCAAAGUAUCACUUCUCUUCCUUCACAGAGUAUUAGCCAUACAAAACAACCCAGAGAAAGGAAGACAGGAGAACAGGGCUUCUCCCCACCACUCCCAGCAAAUACUGUGGAUUUUUUAUACCUGUGCUCAAGUGUUGUGGGUUAUUUGUGAGAAGGAACAGGAAUGUGGGGUUGGGCUUUUAAGCCUCUCUGUGAGUCAUGAGGUUAUUUUUACAGCCACUGCUGAGAUUCUCUUUAUGAAAUUACAUGCUUUUUAAAAAAGUACGUUAAUGUUUUUGUUACCAGAUAUACCAGGCAUGACUAUAGCUGGCUUGACAUCUGUAAAUAUAUAUUUAUAAUAUACAUAAAUAUACACACUCACUAAUAUGUACCAUUUCAAUAGCCUCAUUUUACAGAUAUGGAAAUGUAGAUUUGGAUUAAUUGAUUUACCUAAGGUUACACAGUUUAUUAAUGGAAGAAAUGAAGCAUUGUAAAUUGCUGUUUUCUUGAGCUUUUUCACCUUUUUUGAUAUAUAUGCUGAUUUCAUGGAGUUAAAUGAAGUGCUUCCCAUCCAGAGGACCACACCCCCCUCUUUGAGAAUCACUGAUACCCAUAAAAUAGUCUAUCUUCUGAUAAUUCCUACACAUUAAUAAGAUGUGGUUGGUGCAUGUUCUCAGUCAUAUGUGAAAGCUGAAAUAGUUGAUCUCAUAGAAGUAGAGAGUAAAAUAGGGGUUACUAGAGGCUGGGAAGGGGAGGAGAGGGAGAUA